GUGACAUCCAUGUGGCAUGAUAAAACUAAUAACUAUAUCUAUUGGGGAUUAAUGGGUGGAUUGGAUGGUAUACAACGAGAGUUUGAAUAUCAGACAUUUAUAAAUUAUAACACGGGAAUAAACGCGGCAAUGAGCGCGUGGGGAGUAAUUGUUGGUGGUCAGUAUUAUAAUAACACAAAGAGUUUUAGCACCGCCGAUAAAGAUAUUACAACACAAUAUCUUGGUUAUUGGACAGGUGACGGUUCAUAUUAUGCAAAUGGUCCAGAACAAGGUAAAACGUAUGCCGACACAAUAGUUGAAGUGCAACAACAAGCUCAGAC